rnacentral:rRNA from 1 species
CAGGAUGAACGCUGGCGGCGUGCCUAAUACAUGCAAGUCGAACGCAUUACUUCGGUAGUGAGUGGCGAACGGGUGAGUAACACGUAGGUAACUUACCUCUAAGACGAGGAUAGCGACUGGAAACGGUCGCUAAAACUGGAUAGGAUCAUUUGAGGCAUCUCGAAUGAUUUAAAGGGGCUUUCAAGCCACACUUAGAGAAAGGCCUGCGGCGCAUUAGCUAGUUGGUGGGGUAGAGGCCUACCAAGGCGAUGAUGCGUAGCCGGACUGAGAGGUCGGACGGCCACAUUGGGACUGAGACACGGCCCAAACUCCUACGGGAGGCAGCAGUAGGGAAUUUUCGGCAAUGGGGGAAACCCUGACCGAGCAACGCCGCGUGAAUGAAGACGUAUUUCGGUAUGUAAAGUUCUUUUAUUAAGGAAGAAUAUCACGGAUAGGAAAUGAUCUGUGAGUGACGGUACUUAAUGAAUAAGCCCCGGCUAACUAUGUGCCAGCCGCCGC